rnacentral:rRNA from 1 species
AGAGUUUGAUCCUGGCUCAGGACGAACGCUGGCGGCGUGCUUAACACAUGCAAGUCGAACGGAGCACCCCUGAAAGAGUUUUCGGACAAUGGAAGGGAAUGCUUAGUGGCGGACUGGUGAGUAACGCGUGAGGAACCUGCCUUCCAGAGGGGGACAACAGUUGGAAACGACUGCUAAUACCGCAUGACACAUGGCCGUGGCAUCACGGACAUGUCAAAGAUUUAUCGCUGGAAGAUGGCCUCGCGUCUGAUUAGCUAGUAGGCGGGGUAACGGCCCACCUAGGCGACGAUCAGUAGCCGGACUGAGAGGUUGACCGGCCACAUUGGGACUGAGAUACGGCCCAGACUCCUACGGGAGGCAGCAGUGGGGAAUAUUGGGCAAUGGGCGCAAGCCUGACCCAGCAACGCCGCGUGAAGGAAGAAGGCUUUCGGGUUGUAAACUUCUUUUAAGGGGGAAGAGCAGAAGACGGUACCCCUUGAAUAAGCCACGGCUAACUACGUG